UAUGGAUACACAAUUGCAAGAAAAGAAGUAGUAAUAUCACUGAAGUUACCGAAGACCAGUUAUUUAAACUUUCAAUUCAGGGCAACCAAGGGCCAAUGAGUUCAUCUCAUUAUGCAGGGAUGAAUCACAAAACAAACAAGAAGAGACAUGGAGCAGCAUCCGCAACUAGCAAUGCAGGUGCGAAACUGAAUUAGCCCUUUCCAAUUAAAUGCAAAUGGAGGAGAACCCGUAACUAAAUAAAAUUAAGCUUUUGCGAAUAUGAAGAAUAUAGUAGGCCAAUACAAGGCCAAAAACUCGAAAAAGAACUUCUUUCCUUUCCUUUUCAAGAAAGCAACAGUAGAAAGAAAACAUGCCAAUCGAGAUCUGCAAAAGAGGAAGACCCAUAAUGAAAUCACACUGAAGAAUUUCUUCAAACGUUUGAAAAGCUGCAAGUCGUCGCACCUAAUUCGGUCUAGAUGGGUUCGGAUGGCGACAUCACAUUCACUGAUAAUCACGCACGAACGAAGCAAAACCAAGAGAAGAACCCACUGUAGCUCAGAUUGAGACGGACAACGACAUGAGAAAACACGAGCAAAUCAUCAUCAAAAGAGACAAUGCAAACGCAAUGCAAGCGAAACCAACCCACUAUGGAGUAAAUCGACGUAAAGCAUCCAUUCCGCUGAUGAACCAAGAACUUCCCACUUCAACGAGAUCCGAAUCCAAU